rnacentral:lncRNA from 1 species
AAAAAUUCAGAAGAACGACAUAACAUAGAGAAGGAAAAAAGGCCGUCAUGGCAAUAUUCAACAAGAACACAAGUGCCCAGUGCUUGUUAGCUCUUGUGCUCAUUGCUACUGUCAUUUCGUCUUGUUAUGCGUUUGGUCCAGGUACGUGCAUCUCUGUGGUUUUGCCACGUGAUGCUAAUUUUCUAUGUAUUUCACAAUGUUGAGUUGUAUGGAUCUUAUGGCAACUGAUCCAUGCUGAAGCGUAACUUGCCAUAUUGUCUGGGUAUUCUUCUAACAGUGUGUUUUUUUUGUGAAAUGUAGAAGGAGGAUGUUUCAUGCCUUUCCUGAGUUGCAAUCUGGACUUGUGCAGGCGUGACUGCAACGGUUUACUUGCCUCUUGCCAAAUGAUAGGCGAGUUUCACCACCGAUGUUGUUGCGCUCCCAAGAAACUCAAUGCAUCUACUGAUAAGAAUAGUCGUCCUUGAGAUAUGCAUUCCGAUAUUAUAGUUUAUAGGUCACUGCUUUUUCCUGGAUCCAAUUCUGCCCGAUUGAAUAAAAUUUAUCACCAUUGAAAAAAUGUUGCUCCCGAGAUAUUUAUGUAUUGUGUGAAGCCGUAAUGCUUCGUUUGGAUGUUCAUAUUCAGACCUCAACAUUGAUAUUGGGGCCAAUAUCAAUUGAACUUGGACAUUGAUAUUGACAUUUAAGACAAAUUUUGCUGUUUGGAUGUUGAUAUAUUUGACACUUCAACAUUGACAAUGAGACCAAGUUACACUUCAACAUUCCAAAAGAGAGCAUUGCAACCCACAAAAUUUCAGAAGAACGACAUAACAUAGAGAAGGAAAAAAGGCCGUCAAGACAAUAUUCAAGAAGAACACAAGUGCCCAGUGCUUGUUGGCUCUUGUGCUCAUCGCUACUGUCAUUUCAUCUUGCGAUGCGUUUGGCCCAGGUACGUGCAUCUCUGACCUAACUAUAAGUCACUGUGGUUUUGCCAUGUGAUGCUAAUUUUCUAUAUAGUUCACAAUAUUGAGUUGUAUGGAUCUUAUGGCAUCUGGUCCAUGCUGAAGCGUACCUUGCCAUGUUGUCUGGCUAUUCUUCUAACAAUGUAUUUUUUUUGUUUGUGAACAUGUAGAAGGAGGAUGUUUCAUGCCUUUCAUGAGUUGCGAUCUGGACUUGUGCAGGCGUGACUGCAACGGUUUAUCUGCCUCUUGCCAAAUGAUAGGCGAGUUUCACCACCGAUGUUGUUGCGCUCCCAAGAAACUCAGUGCAUCUAUUGAUAAGAAUAGUCAUCCUUGAGAUAUGCAUUCCGAAAUUGUAGUUUAUAUGUCACUGCUUUUUCCUGGAUCCAAUUCUGCCUGAUUGAAUAAAAUUUAUCACCAUUGAAAAAAUAUCACUCCCGAGAUAUUUACGUAUCGUGUGAAACCGUAAUGCUUCGUUUGGAUGUUCAUAUUCAGACCUCGGCAUUGAUAUUGGGGCCAAUAUC